CUGAGUGCAUGAAUGAUAACAAGCACUACUGCUGUACGGAAACUCAAAAUUUUCCAGUACAGGCGCUGCCCCUAGAGUUCCCAGUACAUCAACACCAGCCUGAGGAGCCGGCCUAGUACUUCCCACCACUGAAACCGCAGUCCAGGCAGCAAGAAAAGAUGGAGCCAUCACACCCGAGUCAAGAAAGCAACACCAUUCCUCAAGUUGUGGACCAUUAUCCAAGGGAAAAUCCCCCUCAAACUAAGUGUAACCAUCAUUUAAAGAAACCCUUCCGCCCAGCAUGGUGUCUCAGGCCUAUAAUCGCAGCACUUUGGGAGGCCAAGG